rnacentral:rRNA from 1 species
UAUUGGGCGUAAGAGCUCGUAGGCGGUUUGUCGCGUCUGCCGUGAAAGUCCGGGGCUCAACUCCGGAUCUGCGGUGGGUACGGGCAGACUAGAGUGAUGUAGGGGAGACUGGAAUUCCUGGUGUAGCGGUGAAAUGCGCAGAUAUCAGGAGGAACACCGAUGGCGAAGGCAGGUCUCUGGGCAUUAACUGACGCUGAGGAGCGAAAGCAUGGGGAGCGAACAGGAUUAGAUACCCUGGUAGUCCAUGCCGUAAACGUUGGGCACUAGGUGUGGGGGACAUUCCACGUUUUCCGCGCCGUAGCUAACGCAUUAAGUGCCCCGCCUGGGGAGUACGGCCGCAAGGCUAAAACUCAAAGGAAUUGACGGGGGCCCGCACAAGCGGCGGAGCAUGCGGAUUAAUUCGAUGCAACGCGAAGAACCUUACCAAGGCUUGACAUGAACCGGUAACGCCUGGAGACAGGUGCCCCGCUUGCGGUCGGUUUACAGGUGGUGCAUGGUUGUCGUCAGCUCGUGUCGUGAGAUGUUGGGUUAAGUCCCGCAACGAGCGCAACCCUCGUUCUAUGUUGCCAGCACGUGAUGGUGGGGACUCAUAGGAGACUGCCGGGGUCAACUCGGAGGAAGGUGGGGACGACGUCAAAUCAUCAUGCCCCUUAUGUCUUGGGCUUCACGCAUGCUACAAUGGCCGGUACAAAGGGUUGCGAUACUGUGAGGUGGAGCUAAUCCCAAAAAGCCGGUCUCAGUUCGGAUUGGGGUCUGCAACUCGACCCCAUGAAGUCGGAGUCGCUAGUAAUCGCAGAUCAGCAACGCUGCGGUGAAUACGUUCCCGGGCCUUGUACACACCGCCCGUCAAGUCACGAAAGUUGGUAACACCCGAAGCCGGUGGCCUAACCCCUUGUGGGAGGAGCUGUCGAAGUGGGACUGGCGAUUGGGACGA